ensembl:ncRNA R07E3.9 ncRNA
UGGCAUGUUAAGCUGCUUUGAGUGCAUUGUAGGUGGAGGCAUACUAAACAAAAUCAAAUUAUGCAUUCAUUAAAAAAAAAUUUGAAAAUGAAAGGAAUAUGUAUCAAUUACAAAAACAUUAAACAUUAACAACUCACG